rnacentral:rRNA from 1 species
CACUUCUAAGGAAGGCAGCAGGCGCGCAAAUUACCCAAUCCUGACUCAGGGAGGUAGUGACAAGAAAUAACAAUAAACCGGCUUAUGCCGGUUUAAUUGGAAUGAGUACAAUUUAAACAUCUUAACGAGGAACAAUUGGAGGGCAAGUCUGGUGCCAGCAGCCGCGGUAAUUCCAGCUCCAAUAGCGUAUACUAAAGUUGUUGCAGUUAAAAAGCUCGUAGUUGGAUUUCUGUGGGGACGGAGCGGCCGGCCGCAACACGCGGUUCGAGCUAGCGCUUUCCCUACAUCCUGCCGCGAACCGUGCUACCAUUAAUUUGGUGGCGCCGGGGAUCGGCUCGAUUACUUUGAGAAAAAUAGAGUGUUCAAAGCAGGCCACAUGCCUUGAAUAAGUUAGCAUGGAAUAAUAACUAAGGACUUCGGUUCUAUUUUGUUGGUGUUCGGGACUGAAGUAAUGAUUGAUAGGGACAGUUGGGGCGGUCUGUAUUCCAAAGCGAGAGGUGAAAUUCUUAGACCUUCGGAAGACAAACAGCUGCAAAAGCGUUCCGCAAGGAUGUUCCCUUUGAUCAAGAACGAAAGUUGGGGGAUCGAAGACGAUCAGAUACCGUCGUAGUCUCAACUAUAAACUAUACCAGCUAGGGAUCGGCCAACGUUAUUUCAAACCGACUUGGUCGGCACCUUAUGAGAAAUCAAAGCAUCUGGGUUCCGGGGGGAGUAUGGUCGCAAGGCUGAAACUUAAAGGAAUUGACGGAAGGGCACCACCAGCCGUGGAGCCUGUGGCUUAAUUUGACUCAACACGGGAAAACUUACCAGGUCCAGACAUAGUAAGGAUUGACAGAUUGAUAGCUCUUUCUUGAUUCUGUGGGUGGUGGUGCAUGGCCGUUCUUAGUUGGUGGAGUGAUUUGUCUGGUUAAUUCCGUUAACGAACGAGACCCCAGCCUGCUAAAUAGCGCGCGUGAGCUUUGCUCGCGGCGAGCUUCUUAGAGGGACUCUGAUGCGCGAUAGCACAUGGAAGUUUGGGGCAAUAACAGGUCUGUGAUGCCCUUAGAUGUUCUGGGCCGCACACGGGCUACACUGGCGCCUGCAUCGAGCAUAUCAGCUGGCCCGAGAGGGUCUUGGCUAAUCUUCUGAACCGGCGCCGUGCUUGGGAUUGACCUUUGCAAUUGUUGGUCAUGCAACGAGGAAUGCCUUGUAAACGCGAGUCAUCAGCUCGCAUUGAAUAUGUCCCUGCCCUUUGUACACACCGCCCGUCGCUCCUACCGAUGAAUGUUCCGAUGAAAUUUUCGGAGAGCACCUGUGAACUUGGCUCUGCCUUGCGAACGGGAGGCUCAAAGUCACUUAAAUCUGAACAUUUCGAGG